AUUUUGAACCCCAGCUCACUGAUCCUCAUUUUUAAUUUUUUUUUUUUAAUUUCAGGGAGUCUGUGUAGUCCAGACCUGUAAUGAAGGAAUUGAAGAAAUAAUCACAAGUGCCUAGGAUCCUCCUGGGGGACAAACACGGGCUGCUUAUCCUCGUUGUCUCCUUUGUGCCCGUGAUGGUCCCAGACACAUCCACAGACAGUGAUGGAAGACUUGACCUUGGCCUCAUCAGAGAUCCCCCUGACCACUGAGCAGCAGGGUCACAAGGAGGUGACAAGGGACUGGAUUCAGGCAAUGUCGAUCUUAGCACCACCAGGGCUUGCUUGGCGACUGGUUGUGGCAGCUGAAAUCUCAGUGUGCCAGGGCCUGGGGCCUCUGGUAACAAAUGAGCUAAAUCAGGAGGUGGAGCAAUGGAUGGACAAAUCGAUGGGUGGAUGAAAAGAUAAUGGAUGAAUGGAGAGAGGAGGGGCAAAUGGCUGGCUCAAUGCCUGAAUGAACAGACAGAUGAGUGAACAGACAUCCAAGGAGUAUGACAAAGAGUAAAAGGCAAAAAAUAAAAACCAGCUGAAGAAAUUUAAUUGACAAUUUAGCAAAUGAAUGUCUUGCCAUUGAGAGAGUUACCCUUAACACUACUGCCAGCUGU